UAGCCAGGGAGCCUCUUGUGAUGAUCCUUGUGUCGCUGAAUGGCUGGUUUGAUGAACCAACCUCGCCCUCUAAGAAGUUGACUGAAGAGGCUUAACCAGCUA
ensembl:snoRNA SNORD125 small nucleolar RNA SNORD125